UACGUAGGGGGCUAGCGUUGUCCGGAAUCAUUGGGCGUAAAGCGCGUGUAGGCGGCCCGGUAAGUCCGCUGUGAAAGUCGGGGGCUCAACCCUCGGAAGCCGGUGGAUACUGUCGGGCUCGAGUACGGAAGAGGCGAGUGGAAUUCCUGGUGUAGCGGUGAAAUGCGCAGAUAUCAGGAGGAACACCUAUUGCGAAGGCAGCUCGCUGGGACGUUACUGACGCUGAGACGCGAAAGCGUGGGGAGCGAACAGGG
rnacentral:rRNA from 1 species